rnacentral:rRNA from 1 species
AUUGAACGCUGGCGGCAUGCCUUACACAUGCAAGUCGAACGGCAGCGGGGGAGAAGCUUGCUUUUCCUGCCGGCGAGUGGCGAACGGGUGAGUAAUACAUCGGAACGUGCCCAGUCGUGGGGGAUAACGUAGAGAAAUUUACGCUAAUACCGCAUACGAUCUAAGGAUGAAAGCGGGGGACCGUAAGGCCUCGCGCGAUUGGAGCGGCCGAUGUCAGAUUAGGUAGGUGGUGGGGUAAAGGCCUACCAAGCCGACGAUCUGUAGCUGGUCUGAGAGAACGACCAGCCAGACUGGGACUGAGACACGGCCCAGACUCCUACGGGAGGCAGCAGUGGGGAAUUUUGGACAAUGGGCGCAAGCCUGAUCCAGCCGUUCCGCGUGCAGGAUGAAGGCCCUCGGGUUGUAAACUGCUUUCGUACAGAACGAAAAGCUCUGGGUUAAUACCCUGGGCUCAUGACGGUACUGUAAGAAUAAGCACCGGCUAACUACGUGCCAGCAGCCGCCGUAA